rnacentral:rRNA from 1 species
CAGUAGCCGCGGUAAUACGAAGGGGGCUAGCGUUGCUCGGAAUUACUGGGCGUAAAGGGCGCGUAGGCGGACAGUUCAGUCGGGGGUGAAAGCCCGGGGCUCAACCUCGGAAUUGCCUUCGAUACUGGCUGUCUUGAGUAUGAGAGAGGUGUGUGGAACUCCGAGUGUAGAGGUGAAAUUCGUAGAUAUUCGGAAGAACACCAGUGGCGAAGGCGACACACUGGCUCAUUACUGACGCUGAGGCGCGAAAGCGUGGGGAGCGAACAGGAUUAGAUACCCCCGUAGUCCCUGUCUCUUAUAC